AAUCUCUGAAUAAAUUUGAGUAGCAAGUAUCAGAAACUUGAUCCUAAAUAUUAAAAAUACAUCCUUCCUUUGGAGGGAGCGUGUAGUAAACGUGUUAGUGUGAUUGUAAGCAUGCUGUCUUUCUGGAGGUCGCUUUGUUCCUGCAUCCACUGCUUUCAUUUCAGGGAUGUUCACGGAACGCCAGCCACCAAAGGGCCAGGAAGCAUCCCCCUGCAGGACCAGCACUUGGCCCUGGCCAUCCUGCUGGAGCUGGCUGUGCAGAGAGGCACGCUGAGCCAAAUGUUGUCUGCCAUCCUGUUGUUGCUUCAGCUGUGGGACAGCGGGGCACAGGAGACUGACAAUGAGCGUUCCGCCCAGGGCACCAGCGCCCCACUUUUGCCCUUGCUGCAAAGGUUCCAGAGCAUCAUUUGCAGGAAGGAUGCACCCCACUCCGAGGGCGACAUGCACGUGAGUGUCAUGAUGGAACUUUGUGUUUAGGUGGCACUCGAGUCUAGUUACUUUUAAAGCAAGACUAGCAUGCAUGUCAACGGCAGUGUUUUUCUCUGGCGUGUGUGUGUUUGGUGGUAAUAGCAGCGAGUCAGAUGAGACAGGUGUGGGUGGUCACUUGUUUGUGGAGAA
rnacentral:sRNA from 1 species